rnacentral:rRNA from 1 species
CGGGGUGGAGUAAUGUCUGGGAAACUGCCUGAUGGAGGGGGAUAACUACUGGAAACGGUAGCUAAUACCGCAUAAUGUCGCAAGACCAAAGAGGGGGACCUUCGGGCCUCUUGCCAUCGGAUGUGCCCAGAUGGGAUUAGCUAGUAGGUGGGGUAACGGCUCACCUAGGCGACGAUCCCUAGCUGGUCUGAGAGGAUGACCAGCCACACUGGAACUGAGACACGGUCCAG